AUUCAAUCUAAGUGACAUCAAAGAUCACUUUCAAUUCUAAGAUACAUUUUUUUUUUGUAUAUUUAGAUGGCCUAUCCAUCCCCAUCCUCACCCCUUAUCCCCACUUUCUUGAUGGAGAUAUAGACGCUUAAAUGAUUAUUUAAGAACUUGUUACAUUCUCUGUAGAUUAGACUGAGCUGUGAUUUCCACCCCAUUCACAUUCCCCGGGGCAUAAAACUCACAGAGAAUUGAGUGUCCUCAUGAAGGAGCCCUCUGUGCUAAUUCCCUUGGUGCCUAAAGUGUCACAGCAGAAUUUCUAGUGUGAGUAUGCUAUCAUUGCUCCCAUUCUUUGUCCUGAAAGUGGAAAAAGUGAAAAGCACCCACAAGCCACUGACUCCACAUUACACAGCCUCUAGCUUCAUGGCUGUGCAUUGAGAAUUUGGUGCUAGUGGAGGCUGGGAUCUUCAGGCCGAGGGGUGGGUGCAGCAGGAGAGGGAGGGGCUGACCACAGCAAUGGCGGCCAUGAGCAGCAGCGCUGUGGAUGCCGGCGUCUGUUGCCUGCAGCUGCCAGGCUGACUUCAUUCUUUACACAGCCAAUAUUUAUUGACCACUUAUCAUGUGGAGGACACUCUACGAGUGCUCUGAGGGACACCCAGGGGUGUGACACAUUGCCCUUCUCUGGCAAAUCAUUCUCCUCUCACCAGCCUGUGGGAUUAGACCCUUCAAAUACCCUCAGCACAGCCUGUGAGGUGCUGUUAUUCCCACUUCUCAGACUGCAAACUGUGGCUCCGAAAGUUAAGCAACUUACACGAGGUCACCCGUUUGUGUUGUCUGACGUGCCUUGCUGUGGUUGACAUAGGCCUGGGUGCAUCUUCUGCCGCCAGUUCCAGUGCUCUCUCCAUGACACCACACUAACAAGAAAAGUUAAAAACCAGUAUGUAGGCGGUAGUAUAUAUCAAGGGAAUUGCACAGAGAAGAUGUGUUAUGGGGACUCAGGAAUGCAGGUCACAGUGGUUGGGUACAGAAGGGAGAUGGAAUGAUGGAGAUGGUUAGAGUUUGAUGGGUGGAAACCAAGGGAGGGCAUUCCAGAC
rnacentral:lncRNA from 1 species